CGCUGAAAAGCACUCCGAGAAGGACCGUGCAAUAGAGCUUGAAAUCAGGUGGCGAUGGAACGACGGGGCAUGAAAGGCCCCUCAACAAACGACCCGGGAGCGAUCCCGUAGUAGAACUUGAGGGGAGCCGAUGUCGCGUCGUGCGUUUUGAAAAACGAACCAGAGAGUGCACUUAUUCGGCGAGUCUAACCCGGUUAUCGGG
rfam:Halobacteriaceae archaeon SB9 contig_28, whole genome shotgun sequence.